rnacentral:rRNA from 1 species
GACGAACGCUGGCGGCGUGCCUAAUACAUGCAAGUCGAGCGCAGGAAGCCGACGGAACCCUUCGGGGGGAAGUCGACGGAAUGAGCGGCGGACGGGUGAGUAACACGUAAAGAACCUGCCCUCAGGUCUGGGAUAACCACGAGAAAUCGGGGCUAAUACCGGAUGGGUCAUCGGACCGCAUGGUCCGAGGAUGAAAGGCGCUUCGGCGUCGCCUGGGGACGGCUUUGCGGUGCAUUAGCUAGUUGGUGGGGUAAUGGCCCACCAAGGCGACGAUGCGUAGCCGACCUGAGAGGGUGAUCGGCCACACUGGGACUGAGACACGGCCCAGACUCCUACGGGAGGCAGCAGUAGGGAAUCUUCCACAAUGGACGAAAGUCUGAUGGAGCAACGCCGCGUGAACGAUGAAGGCCUUCGGGUCGUAAAGUUCUGUUGUAAGGGAAGAACAAGUGCCGCAGGCAAUGGCGGCACCUUGACGGUACCUUGCGAGAAAGCCACGGCUAACUACGUGCCAGCCGCCGCAGUAACAC